rnacentral:rRNA from 1 species
CCUACGGGUGGCAGCAGUGAGGAAUAUUGGUCAAUGGACGAGAGUCUGAACCAGCCAAGUAGCGUGAAGGAUGACUGCCCUAUGGGUUGUAAACUUCUUUUAUAUGGGAAUAAAAUGUUCCACGUGUGGGAUUUUGUAUGUACCAUAUGAAUAAGGAUCGGCUAACUCCGUGCCAGCAGCCGCGGUAAUACGGAGGAUCCGAGCGUUAUCCGGAUUUAUUGGGUUUAAGGGGAGCGUGGGUGGAUUGUUAAGUCAGUUGUGAAAGUUUGCGGCUCAACCGUAAAACUGCAGUUGAAACUGGCAGUCUUGAGUACAGUAGAGGUGGGCGGAAUUCGUGGUGUAGCGGUGAAAUGCUUAGAUAUCACGAAGAACUCCGAUUGCGAAGGCAGUUCACUGGACUGCAACUGACACUGAGGCUCGAAAGUGUGGGUAUCAAACAGGAUUAGAUACCCGAGUAGUC